rnacentral:rRNA from 1 species
UAACGCGUGAGUAACCUGCCUUUCAGAGGGGGACAACAGUUGGAAACGACUGCUAAUACCGCAUAACGUAUCUGUAUCGCAUGGUAUGGAUACCAAAGAUUUAUCGCUGAGAGAUGGACUCGCGUCUGAUUAGCUAGUUGGUAGGGUAACGGCCUACCAAGGCGACGAUCAGUAGCCGGACUGAGAGGUUGGCCGGCCACAUUGGGACUGAGAUACGGCCCAGACUCCUACGGGAGGCAGCAG